rnacentral:misc_RNA from 1 species
AAGUCGUAACAAGGUCUCCGUUGGUGAACCAGCGGAGGGAUCAUUACUGAGUCGUAAAAAACUCCCAAACCCAUGUGAACUUACCUAUGUUGCCUCGGCAGGACCUACCCGGGACCUACCCGUGCUACUGUAGCCUGCGUAGCACGUGCUAAACUCUUGUUUUUUAUAGAAAUCUGAACGUCUUAUUAAAUAAGUCAAAA